AGAGUUUGAUCCUGGCUCAGGAUGAACGCUAGCUACAGGCUUAACACAUGCAAGUCGCGGGGCAGCAUGAAGGAUGCUUGCAUCCUUUGAUGGCGACCGGCGCACGGGUGAGUAACGCGUAUCCAACCUGCCUGUUACCACGGCACAGCCCGUCGAAAGGCGGAUUAAUGCCGUAUGUGGUCCUUUGCGGGCAUCUAAUUAGGACUAAAGGUUCAGCGGUAACGGAUGGGGAUGCGUCCGAUUAGCUAGACGGCGGGGUAACGGCCCACCGUGGCUACGAUCGGUAGGGGUUCUGAGAGGAAGGUCCCCCACACUGGAACUGAGACACGGUCCAGACUCCUACGGGAGGCAGCAGUGAGGAAUAUUGGUCAAUGGGCGUAAGCCUGAACCAGCCAAGUAGCGUGAGGGAAGACUGCCCUAUGGGUUGUAAACCUCUUUUGUGCGGGGAUAAAGUGUGGGACGUGUCCCAUAUUGCAGGUACCGCACGAAUAAGGACCGGCUAAUUCCGUGCCAGCAGCCGCGGUAAUACGGAAGGUCCGGGCGUUAUCCGGAUUUAUUGGGUUUAAAGGGAGCGCAGGCCGUCCUUUAAGCGUGCUGUGAAAUGCCGCGGCUCAACCGUGGCACUGCAGCGCGAACUGGAGGACUUGAGUACGCACGAGGUAGGCGGAAUUCGUGGUGUAGCGGUGAAAUGCUUAGAUAUCACGAAGAACUCCGAUUGCGAAGGCAGCUUACCGGAGCGCAACUGACGCUGAGGCUCGAAAGCGCGGGUAUCGAACAGGAUUAGAUACCCUGGUAGUCCGCGCGGUAAACGAUGGAUGCCCGCCGUUGGGAUUUAGAUUUCAGCGGCCAAGCGAAAGCGUUAAGCAUCCCACCUGGGGAGUACGCCGGCAACGGUGAAACUCAAAGGAAUUGACGGGGGCCCG
rnacentral:rRNA from 1 species